UGCUGGACUGUAACUGACGCUGAGGCACGAAAGCGUGGGGAUCAAACAGGAUUAGAUANNNGGUAGUCCACGCCGUAAACGAUGANUGCUAGCUGUUAGCGAUAUACUGUUAGCGGCACAGAGAAAUCGUUAAGCAUUCCACCUGGGGAGUACGCCGGCAACGGUGAAACUCAAAGGAAUUGACGGGGGCCCGCACAAGCGGAGGAACAUGUGGUUUAAUUCGAUGAUACGCGAGGAACCUUACCUGGGCUUAAAUUGCAGUGGAAUAACGUGGAAACAUGUUAGCCUUCGGGCCGCUGUGAAGGUGCUGCAUGGUUGUCGUCAGCUCGUGCCGUGAGGUGUCGGCUUAAGUGCCAUAACGAGCGCAACCCUCAUCGAUAGUUACUAACAGGUUAAGCUGAGGACUCUAUCGAGACUGCCGACGUAAGUCGUGAGGAAGGUGGGGAUGACGUCAAAUCAGCACGGCCCUUACGUCCAGGGCUACACACGUGUUACAAUGGGGGGUACAAAGGGCAGCUACCUGGCGACAGGAUGCUAAUCUCAAAAACCUCUCUCAGUUCGGAUUGGAGUCUGCAACCCGACUCCAUGAAGCUGGAUUCGCUAGUAAUCGCGCAUCAGCCACGGCGCGGUGAAUACGUUCCCGGGCCUUGUACACACCGCCCGUCAAGCCAUGGGAGCCGGGGGGACCUGAAGUAUGCAACCGUAAGGAGCGUCCUAGGGUAAAACUGGUGACUGGGGCUAAGUCGUAACAAGGUAGCC
rnacentral:rRNA from 1 species